rnacentral:lncRNA from 1 species
UUUUGAUUUCAUCAAAUUAUUCUAUGGUUUCUUCACAGCUAGGUAAAGGAUUUCCAAGAGUUUUUUUAUUAUGCUGGAAAACUAUGUGAACCUACACAAUUGUGAAUGCGAACAAUCGACGUGGAAACAAGUGAGCUACUAACUAAAAUGGGCAGUGAUACACAUACAAGCUUACGUGGCAUACACACUUCUACCACCAUAUACAAUUGUGACAUUUAUUGAUAUGGUUCCCACACACAAAAAAACUCUAGCAUUUUUGUCUCUCACUCUCUCUCUUCCGUCUCUUUUCUUCACCAUCUCUUCUCCCUCUUUUCCUCACCAAUUCCAAAUUACAACAAUCUUCAUCUUCAUCUUUUCCUCACCAUCACUUAAACCAGAAAAUGAUAGAAACAACAACAAUCUUCAUCUUCAACAAUUCAAAAUUCAUCCUUAUAUGCAGAAAAAUUCAUUAAACCCAUAAUUCUCUCAAAUCCAAUCCUAUCUCUUAUUCUCUCCAAUCUCCUUCACUGUUUUAAAAACGCGUCAUAAUCAUUAUCAAUAAUUCCAACUCUUUAGAUCAACACAAACUUGAUAUUAAUCUCAGAUUCAUCUGCUCUGUUGUUGUUGCAAAAGUUUCAAAAUAGAAUUUGGUUCUAAAUAGCUCUGAUAAGAUGAAAUCUUGGGUUUGUUAUGAAUAUGGGUCACAUAGAAUUCGUUUUUUUUUUAUUAUUAAAAUAAAUUGUUGUUGAGGGUGGCGCUGACGGCGGAGGUGACGUGAAGUUGCCAGCUUGAUGGUGUUUGUGUGUUGCAGACGGUGGAGGAGUCUGUGGUGGGGAGAGAGAGAGAUUUGUUGUGUUUAUUAGAAAGGAGAAGAGGACAAUGAAAGAGAAAAUGGUGAAAUAUCUAAAAUAUCCCUACUACAUAAGGGGUGUACACAAGUGGUAUAGAAAAAAGGUGGUCUACCAAUAUUUAUCCAACUAAAAUACAUUGUACAUGAUUUUGACUAAGAUGAAUUGUUUCAAUUAACAAUUCUCGUGAGAAACGUUUAAUGUUCGAUAAUUUUAUAAGAUAAUGCGACCAAUCCAAAAAUAUAACCAAAACUAAGUGCAUUGGAUUGAUUAUUUUGCUGAUCGGGAUCAACAUGAACUAAAUCAAUGUAUUCAAUCUGGUAUGGUUCGGGUUCAUAAG